CAGCCGCCACGGGAAUACGAAGGGGGCUAGCGUUGCUCGGAAUGACUGGGCGUAAAGGGCGCGUAGGCGGAUUGUUUAGUUAGGCGUGAAAUUCCUGGGCUUAACCUGGGGACUGCGCUUAAUACAGGCAGUCUAGAGUGAGGAAGAGGGUUGUGGAAUUCCCAGUGUAGAGGUGAAAUUCGUAGAUAUUGGGAAGAACACCGGUGGCGAAGGCGGCAACCUGGUCCUUGACUGACGCUGAGGCGCGAAAGCAUGGGGAGCAAACAGGAUUAGAUACCCCCGUAGUCCCUGUCUCUUAUAC
rnacentral:rRNA from 1 species